rnacentral:rRNA from 1 species
UCGGGAAUUUUGGGCAAUGGGCGAAAGCCUGACCCAGCAACGCCGCGUGAAGGAUGAAGUAUUUCGGUAUGUAAACUUCGAAAGAAUAGGAAGAAUAAAUGACGGUACUAUUUAUAAGGUCCGGCUAACUACGUGCCAGCAGCCGCGGUAAUACGUAGGGACCAAGCGUUGUUCGGAUUUACUGGGCGUAAAGGGCGCGUAGGCGGCAAUUCAAGUCAUCUGUGAAAUCUCCGGGCUUAACUCGGAACGGUCAGAUGAUACUGCUUUGCUAGAGUGCAGAAGGGGCAAUCGGAAUUCUUGGUGUAGCGGUGAAAUGCGUAGAUAUCAAGAGGAACACCUGAGGUGAAGACGGGUUGCUGGGCUGACACUGACGCUGAGGCGCGAAAGCUAGGGGAGCAAACGGGAUUAGAUACCCUUGUAGUCCCUGAGCGGGCUGGCAAGGCGCAU